GAUGAACGCUGGCGGCGUGCCUAAUACAUGCCAGUCGAGCGAACAGAUAAGGAGCUUGCUCCUUUGACGUUAGCGGCGGACGGGUGAGUAACACGUGGAUAACCUACCUAUAAGACUGGGAUAACUUCGGGAAACCGGAGCUAAUACCGGAUAACAUAUUGAACCGCAUGGUUCAAUAGUGAAAGGCGGCUUUGCUGUCACUUAUAGAUGGAUCCGCGCCGUAUUAGCUAGUUGGUAUGGUAACGGCUUACCAAGGCAACGAUACGUAGCCGACCUGAGAGGGUGAUCGGCCACACUGGAACUGAGACACGGUCCAGACUCCUACGGGAGGCAGCAGUAGGGAAUCUUCCGCAAUGGGCGAAAGCCUGACGGAGCAACGCCGCGUGAGUGAUGAAGGUCUUCGGAUCGUAAAACUCUGUUAUCAGGGAAGAACAAAUGUGUAAGUAACUGUGCACAUCUUGACGGUACCUGAUCAGAAAGCCACGGCUAACUACGUG
rnacentral:rRNA from 1 species